UACGAAGGGGGCUAGCGUUGCUCGGAAUCACUGGGCGUAAAGGGUGCGUAGGCGGGUCUUUAAGUCAGGGGUGAAAUCCUGGAGCUCAACUCCAGAACUGCCUUUGAUACUGAAGAUCUUGAGUUCGUGAGAGGUGAGUGGAACUGCGAGUGUAGGGGUGAAAUUCGUAGAUAUUCGCAAGAACACCAGUGGCGAAGGCGGCUCACUGGCCCGAUACUGACGCUGAUGCACGAAAGCGUGGGGAGCAAACAGG
rnacentral:rRNA from 1 species